CGUGAGAUGUUGGGUUAAGUCCCGCAACGAGCGCAACCCCUAUUGUUAGUUGCCAUCAUUCAGUUGGGCACUCUAGCGAGACUGCCGGUAAUAAACCGGAGGAAGGUGGGGAUGACGUCAAAUCAUCAUGCCCCUUAUGACCUGGGCUACACACGUGCUACAAUGGCUGGUACAACGAGUCGCAAGUCGGUGACGGCAAGCUAAUCUCUUAAAGCCAGUCUCAGUUCGGAUUGUAGGCUGCAACUCGCCUACAUGAAGUU
rnacentral:rRNA from 1 species